CCUACGGGAGGCAGCAGUGGGGAAUAUUGGGCAAUGGGCGCAAGCCUGACCCAGCAACGCCGCGUGAAGGAAGAAGGCUUUCGGGUUGUAAACUUCUUUUCUGAGGGACGAAGAAAGUGACUGUACCUCAGGAAUAAGCCAUGGCUAACUACGUGCCAGCAGCCGCGGUAAUACGUAGGUGGCAAGCGUUAUCCGGAUUUAUUGGGUGUAAAGGGCGUGUAGGCGGGAAAGCAAGUCAGAUGUGAAAACUCAGGGCUCAACCCUGAGACUGCAUUUGAAACUGUUUUUCUUGAGUGCUGGAGAGGCAAUCGGAAUUCCGUGUGUAGCGGUGAAAUGCGUAGAUAUACGGAGGAAGACCAGUGGCGAAGGCGGAUUGCUGGACAGUAACUGACGCUGAGGCGCGAAAGCGUGGGGAGCAAACAGGAUUAGAUACCCUAGUAGUC
rnacentral:rRNA from 1 species